AAGAUCGCACUCCCACCCUGAAUGCGCCCGAUCUCGUCUGAUCUCGGAAGCUAAGCAGGGUCGGGCCUGGUUAGUACUUGGAUGGGAGGCCCUGGGUUUUAGUCUGU
rnacentral:rRNA from 1 species